GAAUCUUGCGCAAUGGGCGAAAGCCUGACGCAGCCAUGCCGCGUGAAUGAUGAAGGUCUUAGGAUUGUAAAGUUCUUUCGCCCGUGAAGAUAAUGACGGUAACCGGAGAAGAAGCCCCGGCUAACUUCGUGCCAGCAGCCGCGGGAAUACGAAGGGGGCUAGCGUUGUUCGGAAUUACUGGGGGUAAAGCGCACGUAGGCGGAUCGUUAAGUGAGGGGUGAAAUCCCAGGGCUCAACCCUGGAACUGCCUUUCAUACUGGCGAUCUUGAGUUCGAGAGAGGUGAGUGGAAUUCCGAGUGUAGAGGUGAAAUUCGUAGAUAUUCGGAGGAACACCAGUGGCGAAGGCGGCUCACUGGCUCGAUACUGACGCUGAGGUGCGAAAGCGUGGGGAGCAAACAGG
rnacentral:rRNA from 1 species